GAGCCGGAAAAAUUCUGAAAAGCCUGCUUACCCUUUUACUUUUCAAUUCACAGAAACCAAACAGCACAUUCUGGGGAUGGCCCCUCCACCUUGAACCCCUGCAGUGGCUUCAUCACUCUCAAUGUCAACACAGACGAGCUGUCAUUUUUUCCCUCCCCCUCUAAACUGCCAAGAGUCCCUUCAAGUAGGGGCUCCCACCCCACCGUGGAAGCCCUGGAUUCGCCAGGAGCCCAACGCUCGGCCUGAGGCUACGAUUUCCCCCUUUCUAGAAAGUGCACUCGGUGUUCAUAUUUGCUGGCGAUUCAAACUCCCUGCUGAGCAGAGCAUCUACUGUUGCAUCGAUAUAUUCCACUGCGGGCGCGAUCUCAAAUGGGGGCGAAAUAAAGUCCAGAUGCAAUCGAGACAAGGGAUUUGGCAUCCGCGGAGAAAAGUACAAACCAACCCAAUCCUCUACCCCAAACAGGGCGACAGAGCCGGCGCUCUCUCGGGGGAAGAGGUAUCCCAGGGAAGUUGAUUCUAUGUGAAGAAUAAAACCUCCUUUCUGGAAAGCGAACUUGGCCCAAUGGAUAGGGCAUCCGCCUACCACAUGGGAGGUCUGUGGUUCAAACCCCGGGCUUCCUUGACCCAUGUGGAGCUGGCCCAUGCGCAGUGCUCAUGUGCGCAAGGAGUACCCUGCCACGAAGGGGUGUCCCCUACGUAGGGGAGCCCCAUGCGCAAGGAGUGCGCCCUGUAAGGAGAGCCGCCCAGUGCAAAACAAAGUGCAGCCUGCCCAAGAAUUGUGCCGCACACAUGGAGAGCUGACACAACAAGAUGAUGCAACAAAAAGAAACACAGAUUCCCAGUGCCGCUGAUAAGGAUAGAAGCCGUCACAGAAGAACACAGAGAGCAGACAAUGGGGAGAGGGGGGAGAAAUAAAUAAUAAAAUAAAUCUUAAAAAAAAGACAAACCAAAAACCUUCCUUCUGCUACCCUUUGAAAAGCCUUUUUCAAAACUGGUUGGUAUAAAAAAAAAUGCAUUUCAUGAAGUCAUAAAAAUAAUGAUCCUUUGC
rnacentral:lncRNA from 1 species